UCUCCGUAGGUGAACCUGCGGAGGGAUCAUUACUGAGUGAGGGCUUCGGUCCGACCUCCAACCCUUUGUGAACCAAACUUGUUGCUUCGGGGGCGACCCUGCCGGCACUCGGUCGCCGGGCGCCCCCGAAGGUCUCCCAACACUGCAUCUUUGCGUCGGAGUUUAACACAAAUGAAACAAAACUUUCAACAACGGAUCUCUUGGUUCUGGCAUCGAUGAAGAACGCAGC
rnacentral:misc_RNA from 1 species